GUUCUAUGGAAAUUUGAUGACAGGAAAUCAGAUACCUUAGUACCAAUAUUCACCUAUAUAGUGGGUAGUCCAGAAUGACCUUCUCGGUCAUCCACAAACCAAAGCUUUUAUAACUCAUGAUGGAUCCAAUGGAAUGUAUGAGAGAAUCUAUCAUGGAAUCCCUAGGGUGGGGCUUCCUUUAUUGCAGAUCAACGUGACAACUUUGCUCACAUGAAGGCUAAGGGGGAAGCUGUUAGAUUGGACUCAAAAACAACAUAAAUUACAGAUUUGCUCAAUGCAUUAAAGGCAGUCAUUAAUGGCCCUGUAAAAAAAAAAUGUAAUGUAGUUAUCAAUCAUUUAUUAUGAUCAGUCUCUGAAGCCAUUGGACCAAAAACUCUCCUGGAUUGAGUUUGUCAUGCACCACAAUGGAGCCACCUACCAACAGUCUCACCUGGUUCCAGUACUGCUCUAUGGAUGUGCUGGACUGCAUGGCAAUUGUUACUCUCUUUGUCAUAAUAUGUUGCUUGAUUAUCAAAAGUUGUUAAGGCGAGAAAGAAAGAAAAGAGAGUAC
rnacentral:lncRNA from 1 species